AUCUUGCGCAAUGGGCGAAAGCCUGACGCAGCGACGCCGCGUGGGGGAGGAAGGGCUUCGGCUUGUAAACCCCUGUUGCCCGGGACGAAUCCCUGGUUUCGACCAGGUUGACGGUACCGGGUGAGGAAGCACCGGCUAACUCUGUGCCAGCAGCCGCGGUAAUACAGAGGGUGCGAGCGUUGUUCGGAAUUACUGGGCGUAAAGCGUAUGUAGGCUGUUUUGUAAGACAGGUGUGAAAUCCCAGAGCUUAACUUUGGAACUGCAUUUGUGACUGCAAGACUUGAGUAUCGGAGAGGUUGGCGGAAUUCCUAGUGUAGAGGUGAAAUUCGCAGAUAUUAGGAGGAACACCGAUGGCGUAAGCAGCCAACUGGACGAUUACUGACGCUGAGAUACGAAAGCGUGGGGAGCAAACAGG
rnacentral:rRNA from 1 species